CUAUCAACGUUAAAAUUAAAAAUGGAUAUUAGUGAACUGAUAAUCUGAAACUCUGACGAGACCUCUAAUGGGUGACUAGGCAAAUAAAAUUAUUUUAACUUAUUUUUAAAUUUUUUGUAAAAAAAUAUAAAAAACCCAAAUCUGAACCCUAGUCCCACCUUGUAUCUUCGUCGUGCUUCUUCCUAAAACAAGAAACUGAAAUUCUAAAUUAUUAUGGCUUCUUAGAGUUCAACGUCAUCACAAAGAAAAAGUAGGUGACGAGCAAAACUUACCUGCAAUUGUGGGGAGCCCCUAUUUUGAGGUGGUCGAAGACAGCAGAGAAUCCAGAAUGCAGAUUCUGUGUUUUUAUAUAUUAUAAUAUAGAGAAGCAGCAAUACAAGCAAACCAAGUCUUAUAUAUGCUAAAUGCAAACUAUCGAUUUUUACUGCUCUUGCAGUGUUGGGAUAGAGCAUUAUUUUUGUGUGUUUUUUUCAUGGUUUAGGAAUGGAACCUAAA